rnacentral:rRNA from 1 species
UGAGGAAUAUUGGUCAAUGGGCGGAAGCCUGAACCAGCCAAGUCGCGUGAGGGAAGACGGCCCUACGGGUUGUAAACCUCUUUUGCCGGGGAGCAAUGCCCAGCUCGCGAGCUGGGAAGGAGAGUACCCGGAGAAAAAGCAUCGGCUAACUCCGUGCCAGCAGCCGCGGUAAUA